UGGGGAAUUUUGGACAAUGGGCGAAAGCCUGAUCCAGCAAUGCCGCGUGUGUGAAGAAGGCCUUCGGUUGUAAAGCACUUUUGUCCGGAAAGAAAUCCUUGGCUCUAAUACAGUCGGGGGAUGACGGUACCGGAAGAAUAAGCACCGGCUAACUACGUGCCAGCAGCCGCGGUAAUACGUAGGGUGCAAGCGUUAAUCGGAAUUACUGGGCGUAAAGCGUGCGCAGGCGGUUUGCUAAGACCGAUGUGAAAUCCCCGGGCUCAACCUGGGAACUGCAUUGGUGACUGGCAGGCUAGAGUAUGGCAGAGGGGGGUAGAAUUCCACGUGUAGCAGUGAAAAUGCGUAGAGAUGUGGAGGAAUACCGAUGGCGAAGGCAGCCCCCUGGGCCAAUACUGACGCUCAUGCACGAAAAGCGUGGGGAGCAAAACAGGAUUAGAUACCCUGGUAGUCCACGCCCUAAAACGAUGUCAACUAGUUGUUGGGGGAUUCAUUUCCUUAGUAACGUAGCUAACGCGUGAAGUUGACCGCCUGGGGAGUACGGUCGCAAGAUUAAAAACUUAAAAGGAAUUGACGGGGUCAUAGCUGUUUCC
rnacentral:rRNA from 1 species